rnacentral:tRNA from 1 species
GGGGCCAAACCCCAAGACAAGGGGGAGGACUUAAGAUCCUCUGGCGUAGGCCUUCGUGGGUUCAAAUCCCACCCCCCG